rnacentral:rRNA from 1 species
AUGAGGUCCACUACUUCCAGAUCCAUGACAAGCUCCAUGGCACCACCUACGCCACCACCCAAGAGGCCGGCCAUCAAGCUCUCCACGCCGGUAGUGCUAUUCGCCACUUGUUCCGGUGUUUUUCUUGCUCGCCUACACCCAAGAGCAAGAGCGAUGGUAGUGAUGAUGAUGCUCGGCAAUAUCCCAACCAGCAGCAACACGACAGUGACAGUCGUCCAAGACCGGCCUCAGACUGCUUCCAUGAUUAUACAGGAUACAUUGUAUGGCAGGAAAGGCAUUUUUGAGGAAACUGUCAGUCGUAUCACCGCUGCCACAAACAUUGUUUCUGUUCUUCCUAUAGUUGGUCCUGGGGGUAUUGGAAAGACAACUUUCACCACUCACCUGUACAAUGAUGCAAGUACUCAAGACCACUUCCAAGUCAGGGUCUGGGUAUGUGUGUCCACUGAUUUCGACGUGCUUAAGCUCACCAGGGAGAUCCUUGCCUGCAUACCUGCAAGUGAAGAAGGAGGAAGCAGCAGUGUUGCAAACGAAACAACCAAUUUAGACCAGCUUCAGAAAUCCAUAGCACAACGUAUCAAGUCCAAGAGGUUUCUGAUUGUAUUGGAUGAUAUAUGGAAAUGUGACGGCGAGGAUCAGUGGAAAACCCUGCUAGCUCCGUUCACAAAGGGGGAAGCCAAAGGAAGCAUGCUACUCGUCACAACUCGAUUCCCAAAGGUAGCAGACAUGGUGAAAACAGUUGAUCCACUAGAGCUGCGGGGUUUGGAGUCUAAUGACUUCUUCACAUUCUUUGAAUCAUGUAUAUUUGGUGCAGACAACAAGCCCGAGCAUUACGAAGAUGAGUUUGCUGGCAUUGCACGAAAAAUUGCAAACAAGCUAAAAGGUUCCCCGUUGGCAGCCAAAACAGUUGGUAGGUUAUUGCACAAGGACCUUUCUCAGAAACAUUGGAAUGGAGUUCUUGAAAAGCAUCAGUGGCUAAAGCAGCAAAAGAAUGAUGAUAUCAUGCCAUCUUUAAAGAUUAGCUAUGAUUGCCUCCCUUUUGAUCUGAAGAAAUGUUUUUCCUGUUGUGGCCUUUUCCCUGAAGAUCAUAGGUUUACUUCUUCAGAAAUCAAUCAUUUCUGGGUUGCAAUAGGUAUCAUAGACUCUGAUCAUCAAGACGAUAGGAACUACUUGGAAGAACUAGUGGACAAUGGUUUUCUCAUGAAGGAACCAGUGGACAAUGGUCAUCGGUACUGCUAUGUAAUGCAUGAUUUAAUGCAUGAGCUAUCUAAGAUUGUUUCUGCACAAGAAUGCCUCAAUAUAAGUGACUUAGAUUUCAGAGCUGAUGCCAUCCCACAAUCUGUUCGCCACUUAUCUAUCAACAUAGAAGACAGAUAUGAUGCAAAUUUUGAGGAAGAAAUGUGUAAACUGGGGGAGAGGAUAGAGAUUGCUAAUCUACAGACUUUGAUGAUUUUUAGAGAAUAUGAAGAAAGAAUCGCCAAGAUUUUGAAAGAUAGCUUCAAGGAAAUAAACUGUCUGCGUGUUCUGUUUGUAGUGGUGAAGUCUGCACAACCUUUUCCAUAUAGGUUUUCAAAACUUAUCCACCUCCAGUACCUCAAAAUUAAUUCAUCUCUCGAUGGUGACAGGGAAAUGAGGUUACCUAGUACACUAUCAAGAUUUUAUCACUUGAAAUUCUUGGACCUAGAUGGUUGGCAUGGUAGCUCUAAUUUGCCUGAAGACUUUAGCCACCUUGAGAAUUUACAUGAUUUCCAUGCUCGAAGACAUCUCCACUCCAACAUUCGCAAUGUCGGAAAGAUGAAGCAUCUGCAGGAGCUAAAAGGAUUCCAUGUUAAAAAGGAGAGCAUGGGAUUUGAACUGUCAGAACUUGGGGCAUUGCCAGAUCUUGAAGGAGGACUGUUUAUAUGUGGUCUUGAACACGUGGCAACCAAGGAGGAAGCUACUGCAGCCAAAAUGAUGUUGAAAAGGAAUCUGAAGGAGUUGGAAUUAUUCUGGGGCAGAGAUGGACCAACUACAGAUGCCGGUAUUAUUGAUGCUCUUAAACCACACUCUAAUCUUAGAGUACUGACAAUUGUAAGGCAUGGUGGUAUCGUUGGUCCUUGUUGGCUGUGUCUUGACAUGUGGUUAACAAGUUUAGAGACUCUCAGUCUACAUGACGUAUCUUGGAGCAACCUCCCACCUUUUGGGAAGCUACCAAAUCUCAAGGGCCUCUAUUUGAAUAAAGUUUCUGGAAUGCUUCAGUUUGGGCCUCUAUGUGGUGGCGCUCGAGGGAAAUGUUUUAUGCGCUUGAAGGAAGUUGGGUUUUAUGAGAUGCCAGAACUUGCUGAAUGGGUUGUGGAACCUAAUUGCCAUUCCUUUCCAAGUCUUGAAGAAAUCACAUGCAUCGAUUGUCCCAAUCUCCGUGUGAUGCCCUUGUCGGAGGUAUCUUGCACCAAUUUGCGGAGACUUUAUGUUUCCGGGUGCCCCAAGAUGUCUCUGGCCUCCAUGCCUCACACCUCCACACUGACACAUUUGGAUGUUAUAAGAGGUGGAAGUCCUAAUCCAGAUAAGUUGUUGUCUUAUGAUGGAAGGAAAUUGGUUGUUAGAGAGUAUGGCGGUGCUUUGGCCUACCACAAUCUGGAUAAAGUAGAAGAUAUGGAUGUCGGAAGAUGCGACCAUUUGUUCCCUGAAGAGCUGGAUGGCAGUAUUAUCUUCUGUUCAGUUAAGAGUCUCAAAUUAGAUGUAUCUCAUCUUACCAGCAAAUCAUCAUCUUCAAAAGUGGUAAACUGUUUCCCAGCUCUUUCUGUGUUGAAGAUAGAUGGAUAUGGACACCAUGACUAUGAGGUGGAAUGUGUAAUGCAGCAGUUCCCAUCAUCCAGCUCACUGCAGAAACUUACCUUGUCAAGGUGUGAGGGCGUGGUUCUUGUGCCUGUGGAGAAGGAGAAUGGAGGAGGAAUUCAGGAGGACAAGUCAUUGCUCCAAUCAUUAACAAUAUUCAGCUGUGGCAAAUUGUUCUCUCAGUGGCCCAUGGGAAUGGGAGAAUCAGAGACCAUUUGCCCUUUCCCUGCUUCCCUGAGGAAACUUGAUGUUCACGGAGAGCCAAGCAUGAAGUCAAUGGCUCUGCUCCCAAACCUCACGUCUCUCACCAGUCUAAGUCUGUCAAGCUGCAGUAAUUUAACAGUGCACGGAUUCAAUCCUCUCAUCGCAGUCAACCUCGUACAACUGCAAGUUCAUAAUUGCAACACCUUAGCAGCUGAUAUGCUCUCAGAGGUUGCCUCUCAGAGGGCCAAAUUAUUGCCUGCGGGUUACAUCUCUAGAUUGGAGAAACUCAGUGUGGAUGACAUCUCUGGAUUGCUUGUUGCUCCUAUUUGCAACCUCCUCGCCCCGGCCCUCCGCGAACUUUUAUUCGAGGAUAAUGGGAUGGAAGGCUUCACAGAAGAGCAAGAUAAAGCGCUGCAGCUCCUCACCUCCCUCCAGAAACUAAGUUUUUCCCAUUGCAAGGGUCUGCAGUCCCUUCCUCAAGGGUUACAUCGCCUUUCUUCUCUCGAGGAGUUACAUGUCAUUCAGUGUGCAGCAAUCCGAUGGAUGCCAAAGGAGGGCCUCCCGGUUUCGCUGAGAAAACUACAUAUGGAUUGUCGCAGCGCUGAGAUAGACGAGCAAAUUGAGACAAUCAAAAGAACCAACCCAGAUUUAUCCAUCUCAUAUUACCCCUCAAGCACCAGCUGUGAGAUAGACCUGAGCGCUUUAUUCGCAUGA